rnacentral:rRNA from 1 species
GAUGAACGCUGGCGGCGCGCCUAACACAUGCAAGUCGAACGAUUAAACCGCCCUUGGGCGGAUAUACAGUGGCGAACGGGUGAGUGACGCGUGACCAACCUUCCCCCCGCAUCGGGACAACCCGGGGAAACCCGGGCUAAUACCGGAUAUGCCGGGUAUGGCGCAUGUCAUACCCAGGAAAGCUUUUGCGGCGGGGGAUGGGGUCGCGUCCCAUCAGGUAGACGGCGGGGUAGUAGCCCACCGUGCCAACGACGGGUAGCCGGGUUGAGAGACCGACCGGCCACAUUGGGACUGAGAUACGGCCCAGACUCCUACGGGAGGCAGCAGUGGGGAAUCUUGCGCAAUGGGGGAAACCCUGACGCAGCGACGCCGCGUGCGGGAUGGAGGCCUUCGGGCCGUGAACCGCUUUCAGC